rnacentral:lncRNA from 1 species
CUCAGGUCCCAGAGGCACUACCCAUCUCCAACUCAUCCAAUCAAUAGCCAGUUAGAGCUGAGAAGAAACAAGAAUUUUCAGCUAUGUAUAGAACCAUUGUCUCCUUACCUGAGCCAGGUGAUACCUUCUGAAGGAGGUGAGCAAGCAGCUAGGGUCAUCUCACAAGCCUGAUAGGAACUGUCAUUAAUGGACCUCAGCAACUUUCCUCACUCCUUCAAGAAUCUGUACCUGUUACUUUUCAAUCAACUACUUGGAGAAAAAAAAAUGAAAGAGAUUUAGCUGAGAAUUGGAUGAGUUCAGCAAUGGAAGCAUGAACAGAUUUUUACUGGAGAAAUUGGUAAGAUCAUCCUUGAUAGGUACUGGAG